rnacentral:lncRNA from 1 species
UAGGUUAUCCUACCAUCGCAGUUAUGUAAAACUGUUAUAGUAGGUAUGACGUACCACAGUGGUUACGAUAACCGCUGCUGUAUAAGUACUGCCGUAGCUCUUUUUUAUAAUGGUGAAGACAUGAUCUUCAAUAUCGAAGAAGAAACAAUAGAAGCCGACAACCAAUAUGUAUAUCACAAAGGAUUUGAUAUUCAGAAGAGAUCAUUUUAUUGAUCCACCAAGGGUGAGAAAUCAUGAAGUAAGAGUUCACAUGUUGUAAAGAAGGAAUAUAUAAGUCUAAGAUCAAUAUGUUAUUUGAUGGGUAAGAUCAUACAGCACCCACAAUGCCAUGCA